rnacentral:rRNA from 1 species
GACGUAGGAGGCGAGCGUUGUCCGGAUUCAUUGGGCGUAAAGAGCGCGCAGGCGGCUUGGUAAGUCGGAUGUGAAAUCCCGAGGCUCAACCUCGGGUCUGCAUCCGAUACUGCCCGGCUAGAGGUAGGUAGGGGAGAUCGGAAUUCCUGGUGUAGCGGUGAAAUGCGCAGAUAUCAGGAGGAACACCGGUGGCGAAGGCGGAUCUCUGGGCCUUACCUGACGCUCAGGCGCGAAAGCAUGGGGAGCGAACAGG